rnacentral:lncRNA from 1 species
CAGAAAAUUUAAAUCUAAAACAAAUUAAAUGUUAAAAUAAUUAUUUAAAACAUGCGGAAGACGUCAAAUAACAAUAACGAAAACAAUAUGCGGAAAACCAACAACCAAUCUCUACCCAGUAUCUGGUGUCACUGCUCACGGACAACUAAAUAGUGCUAAAAAUAAUAGUCUGAAAAAAGUACAUAGCAUGUCUGUUUGAUACAAUUUAACAAACUGAAAGGGAAAGUUAAAGGAGACUCGGGGCCCGUGAACGCCUGCGAACUACCCCAGAGCCUCUGGACAGAAGGAUCACUCCCGGUCUAAAGUUGCGGUCCGUAGACUGGGUCCUGACCUGUGCACAAAAAGGCACAUAAGCAUAGUAUCAGCACAACCGACCCCAUG